CGCGUAGGCGGCCUGGUAAGUAGGGGGUGAAAUCCUGCGGCUUAACCGCAGGGCUGCCUUCUAAACUGUCAGGCUUGAGCACGGUAGAGGCAGAUGGAAUUCCCGGUGUAGCGGUGGAAUGCGUAGAGAUCGGGAAGAACAUCAGUGGCGAAGGCGGUCUGCUGGGCCGUUGCUGACGCUGAGGCGCGACAGCGUGGGGAGCAAACA
rnacentral:rRNA from 1 species